rnacentral:lncRNA from 1 species
GCGGCGGGGAUGAGGCGGAGAGCGGCGCCGGAGCCGAUUCCAGCUCGGACACGGAGGACGAGGGCUCGGGGGGAGCCGGGGGACGAGGGGACGGCGACGCCGCGGGCACGGAGGGGGACGGUGGUGGUGGCACGGAGAACCCCGCGUCCCCCCGAGGUCAGCAGCGCCGCAUCCUGGUCACCAGCCCCGGGAGGGGACACAAGGUCUUUGUGGUGACGCGCGUGGAGAGCGGAGCGGAGGGCGUCCCCGGUGAGACGCCGGUGUCAGCUGGGGCCGAGGGGACGGACAGCGCCGGGACGGACAGCGCCAGGACGGACAGCGCUGGGACGGAUGGCGCCGCCGGGACCUCCUCCACCAAUGGGAUGGGCAUCGUCACCGGGACGGCCACCAAGGGGUCAGCCACCACCACGGGGACCACCUCCACCAAUGGGACGGGCACUGCCACGGGGACGGCCACCGCCGCUGGGACGGCCACUGAUGGGACGGCCACCACCACCGGCGUGGUCACCACCAGUGACACAGCCACCAGUGGGACUGUCACCACUGGGACGAUGGCCACCAGUGGGACCACCACCACCACCGCCACCACCACUGGGAUGGCCGCUGAUGGGACAGUCGCCAUCAGUGGGACGGCCACCAAUGGGACAGCUGCCACCAGCGGGAUGGCCACCACCCCCGGGAUGGCCACCAGUGGGACUGUCACCAUUGGGGUGAUGGCCACCAAUGGGACAGCCACCGAGGGGACAGCCACCGCCACCAGGGAGGCCCCCAGUGGGAUGGCCACCAGCGGGACAAGCACCACCACUGGGAUGGCCACCAACCCUGGGACAGCCACCAAUGGGACAGCCACCACUGGGAUGGCCACCAAUGGGAUGGCCACCCAUGGGACGGCCACCAGUGAGACGGCCACCAACCCUGGGACAGUCGCCACUGGGACGGCCACUGGUGGAAUGGCCAGCACUGGGACAACCACCACCACUGGGACGGCCACCAACGGGACGGCCACCAACCCUGGGACGGCCACCAUUGGGAUGGCCACCAAUGGGACGGCCACCAACCCUGGGACAGUCGCCACUGGGACGGCCACCGGUGGAAUGGCCACCACUGGGACAACCACCACCAUUGGGACGGCCACCGAUGGGAUGGCCACCAACCCUGGGACAGCCACCAGUGGCAUGGCCACCACUGGGACAACCACCACCAUUGGGACGGCCACCAACCCUGGGACAGUCACCAGCGGGAUGGUCAGCACCAGUGGGACGGCCACCGGUGGAAUGGCCGCCGAUGGGAUGGCCACCAGCACCGGGACGGCCACCACCAGGAUGGGCGCUGGUGGCCCGGCGCUGCCCAACGGGCUGAAGGCGGAGCUGGGCCGGGUGCUGCCCGACGGUGACGGCAAAGCGGGGAGCUGCGGCGCUGAGCACGAGCUGAGCUGCUGCCGGGACGAGCGGGAUCUGGAGGAGCUGCUGCUCGAGGCCAGCCAGGA